AGAAUCAACGCUGGCGGCGUGCCUAACACAUGCAAGUCGCACGAGAAAGGGGAGCAAUCCCUGAGUACAGUGGCGCACGGGUGAGUAACACGUGAAUGAUCUACCUCCGAGUGGGGAAUAACUGAGAGAAAUCUUAGCUAAUACCGCAUAAUACCCACGGGUCAAAGCAGCAAUGCGCUUGGAGAGGAGUUCGCGGCAGAUUAGUUAGUUGGCGGGGUAAUGGCCCACCAAGACGAUGAUCUGUAUCCGGCCUGAGAGGGCGCACGGACACACUGGAACUGAAACACGGUCCAGACUCCUACGGGAGGCAGCAGUGGGGAAUUUUGCGCAAUGGGGGAAACCCUGACGCAGCAACGCCGCGUGGAGGAUGAAGCCCCUUGGGGUGUAAACUCCGUUUCGAUCGGGAAGAUAAUGACGGUACCGAUAUAAGAAGCCCGGCUAACUUCGCGCCAGCAGCCGC
rnacentral:rRNA from 1 species